rnacentral:rRNA from 1 species
GACAGAGGAUGCAAGCGUUAUCCGGAAUGAUUGGGCGUAAAGCGUCUGUAGGUGGCUUUUAAGUCCGCCGUCAAAUCCCAGGGCUCAACCCUGGACAGGCGGUGGAAACUACCAAGCUGGAGUACGGUAGGGGCAGAGGGAAUUCCGGUGGAGCGGUGAAAUGCGUUGAGAUCGGAAGGAACGCCCGUGGCGAAAGCGAGGCCCUGGACGUCUGCUGACGCUGAGACGCGAAAGCCAGGGGAGCGAACGGG